GUUCUUGUAGUUGAUACAACAAUAGUUUUUCAGACUAUAGGUCUAGGUUAAAGUCCUAGUAGGAAUA
rnacentral:tRNA from 1 species